UACGUAGGGUGCAAGCGUUAAUCGGAAUUACUGGGCGUAAAGAGUGUGUAGGCGGUGUUCCCAGUCUGUUGUGAAAUCUCCCGGCUUAACUGGGAGGGUGCAGCGGAAACUAGAAUGCUAGAGGGUGGGAGAGGUAAGCGGAAUUCCUGGUGUAGCGGUGAAAUGCGCAGAUAUCAGGAGGAACACCGGUGGCGAAGGCGGUUCUCUGGGCAUGUCCUGACGCUGAGGAGCGAAAGUGUGGGGAGCGAACAGG
rnacentral:rRNA from 1 species